UAAUCUAAACAAAUCCAACGGUUCUUAAAUAAGGAACGAAAUUCUUUAAAUCUCUCAAAAAUUACCGGAAAAUGAGAUAUCUAAUAGAAAAGGAUAUACUAGUCAUUACCAGUUCGACAGAAUGAAGUUUCUGUUCGACGAUUUGGAAUAGAGGUUUUCUGGUUGAAGUCGCGGCGUCUUUUGAAACCGAACAGAUCCAUGGAUCAACCGGAUCUCUCAACCGUCGGAGCGUCGCACCAAAUCUGCCUUGCAGCUGUCGAAGCUCCGCCAACUACUGCGGCGGCGUAGCCAUCCCUCAACUAUCUCUCAAAAUCGUCCCUUCGUCGACCAAAAUCUCGACUUUGAUUUAUUAGACAGUAACUAUAUCAAGAUCCAUGAGCAUAUGUGUAAUUAUGCUAGUGUUCAAUGGUGUUUUGAUUCGAGUCAGAUGGAUUUUGAUAAAUUUACAUUUUAAGUCUCCAUCGUGAUGGUAUUUCAACAUUGCAACUCGGUUUUUGUAUAAGUUUUAUGCACGCUCUUUGUUUUUUGUUGAAUGUGGAACAAGUCUCUUAUUUUGGAUGGAAAAUCUUAACGAGGAUGGUUUGUAUGUGAGGAUUAGAUUUUGAAUCCCAACGUUGAUUCAAAAUCGAAUAUUGAAAUUAAAGGAGAUUGAAACUCUUA